rnacentral:rRNA from 1 species
CCUACGGGCGGCAGCAGUGAGGAAUAUUGGUCAAUGGACGAGAGUCUGAACCAGCCAAGUAGCGUGAAGGAUGACUGCCCUAUGGGUUGUAAACUUCUUUUAUAUGGGAAUAAAACAGGGUAUGCAUACCCUCUUGUAUGUACCAUAUGAAUAAGGAUCGGCUAACUCCGUGCCAGCAGCCGCGGUAAUACGGAGGAUCCGAGCGUUAUCCGGAUUUAUUGGGUUUAAAGGGAGCGUAGGUGGAUGGUUAAGUCAGUUGUGAAAGUUUGCGGCUCAACCGUAAAAUUGCAGUUGAAACUGGCAGUCUUGAGUACAGUAGAGGUGGGCGGAAUUCGUGGUGUAGCGGUGAAAGGCUUAGAUAUCACGAAGAACUCCGAUUGCGAAGGCAGCUCACUGGACUGCAACUGACACUGAUGCUCGAAAGUGUGGGUAUCAAACAGGAUUAGAUACCCUUGUAGUC